rnacentral:rRNA from 1 species
UGGGGGAGUAUUGCACAAUGGGGGAAACCCGUGAUGCAGCGACGCCGCGUGGGCGAAGAAGUAUUUCGGUAUGUAAAGCCCUAUCAGCAGGGAAGAAGAAAUGACGGUACCUGAGUAAGAAGCACCGGCUAAAUACGUGCC